rnacentral:rRNA from 1 species
AACGAACGCUGGCGGCGUGGAUAAGACAUGCAAGUCGAGCGCAAUUUAUUCGGUAGCAAUAUCGGGUAAGUUGAGCGGCGCAAGGGUGCGUAACACGUGGGUAAUUUGCCAUAAAGUUGGGGAUAACUUGCUGAAAGGCGAGCUAAUACCGAAUGUGGUUGUCGGGAGGCAUCUCCUGAUUACUGAAGUUGGGGAUCGUAAGACCUGACGCUUUAUGAUAAGCCCGCGGCCUAUCAGCUAGUUGGUGAGGUAAAAGCUCACCAAGGCUAAGACGGGUAGCUGGUCUGAGAGGACGACCAGCCACACUGGAACUGAGACACGGUCCAGACACCUACGGGUGGCAGCAGUCGAGAAUUUUUCUCAAAUGGGGAAACCCUGAAGGAGCGACGCCGCGUGGGGGAUGAAUGGCUUCGGCCCCGUAAACCCCUGUCAUUUGCGAACAAACCUUACCGGUUAAUAACCGUGAGCUGAUUGUAGCGAAAGAGGAAGGGACGGCUAACUCUGUGCCAG